rnacentral:rRNA from 1 species
AUUGAACGCUGGCGGCAUGCCUUACACAUGCAAGUCGAACGGUAACAGGUCUUCUGAUGCUGACGAGUGGCGAACGGGUGAGUAAUACAUCUGAACGUGCCCGAUCUUUGUGGAUAACGUGGCGUAAGCUUUUCUAAUACCUCAUACGAUCUACUGUUGAAAUCGGGUGAUCUUCUUACCUCUCUCGGACUUUUCGGCCGAUGGCUGAUUAGGUAGUUGGUGGGAUAGAAGCUUACCAAGCCGACGAUCUGUAGCUGGUCUGAGAGGAUGAUCAGCCACACUGGGAGUGAGACACGGCCCAGACUCCUACGGGAGGCAGCAGUGGGGAAUUUUGGACAAUGGGCGAAAGCCUGAUACAGCAAUGCCGCGUGCAGGAUGAAGGACUUUGGGUUGUAAACUGAUUUUGUACGGAACGAAAAGAAUCUUACUAAUAAAGAGGGGUCAUGACGGUACCGUAAGAAUAAGCACCGGCUAACUACGUG